AGAGUUUGAUCCUGGCUCAGGAUGAACGCUAGCGGCAGGCCUAACACAUGCAAGUCGAACGGUAACAGGAAGAGCUUGCUCUUUGCUGACGAGUGGCGCACGGGUGCGUAACGCGUAUACAAUCUACCUUUUACAGGGGGAUAGCCCUUAGAAAUGAAGAUUAAUACCCCAUAGUAUCCUAUUAUCGCAUGGUAUAAGGAUUAAAGUUCGCGGUAAAAGAUGAGUAUGCGUUCUAUUAGCUAGAUGGUAAGGUAACGGCUUACCAUGGCAACGAUAGAUAGGGGCCCUGAGAGGGGGAUCCCCCACACUGGUACUGAGACACGGACCAGACUCCUACGGGAGGCAGCAGUGAGGAAUAUUGGACAAUGGGCGCGAGCCUGAUCCAGCCAUGCCGCGUGCAGGAAGACUGCCCUAUGGGUUGUAAACUGCUUUUAUACGGGAAGAAACCCACCUACGUGUAGGUGGCUGACGGUACCGUAAGAAUAAGGAUCGGCUAACUCCGUGCCAGCAGCCGCGGUAAUACGGAGGAUCCAAGCGUUAUCCGGAAUCAUUGGGUUUAAAGGGUCCGUAGGUGGAUAAUUAAGUCAGAGGUGAAAGUCUGCAGCUCAACUGUAGAAUUGCCUUUGAUACUGGUUAUCUUGAAUUAUUGUGAAGUGGUUAGAAUAUGUAGUGUAGCGGUGAAAUGCAUAGAUAUUACAUAGAAUACCAAUUGCGAAGGCAGAUCACUAACAAUAUAUUGACACUGAUGGACGAAAGCGUGGGGAGCGAACAGGAUUAGAUACCCUGGUAGUCCACGCCGUAAACGAUGAGAACUAGAUGUUGGGACUUACCUCUCGGUGUCGCAGCUAACGCGUUAAGUUCUCCGCCUGGGGAGUACGGUGGCAACACUAAAACUCAAAGGAAUUGACGGGGACCCGCACAAGCGGUGGAGCAUGUGGUUUAAUUCGAUGCAACGCGAAGAACCUUACCUGGUCUUGACAUCCUCGGAGACUUUCCUAGAAAUGGAUUGGUGCCUUCGGGAACCGAGUGACAAGGUGCUGCAUGGCUGCCGUCAGCUCGUGUCGUGAGAUGUUGGGUUAAGUCCCGCAACGAGCGCAACCCUUGUCCUUAGUUGCCAGCAUUUAUUUCGGGCACUCUAGGGAGACCGCCGGUGAUAAACCGGAGGAAGGUGGGGACGACGUCAAGUCAUCAUGGCCCUUAUGACCAGGGCUACACACGUGCUACAAUGGCCGGUACAGAGGGUUGCCAAGCCGCGAGGUGGAGCUAAUCCCAGAAAGCCGGUCGUAGUCCGGAUUGGAGUCUGCAACUCGACUCCAUGAAGUCGGAAUCGCUAGUAAUCGCGAAUCAGCAUUGUCGCGGUGAAUACGUUCCCGGGUCUUGUACACACCGCCCGUCACACCAUGGAAGUAGGUUGCACCAGAAGUAGGUAGUCUAACCCUCGGGAGGACGCUUACCACGGUGUGGCUUAUGACUGGGGUGAAGUCGUAACAAGGUAAAG
rnacentral:rRNA from 1 species